GGUUAAGCGACUAAGCGUACACGGUGGAUGCCCUGGCAGUCAGAGGCGAUGAAGGACGUGCUAAUCUGCGAUAAGCGUCGGUAAGGUGAUAUGAACCGUUAUAACCGGCGAUUUCCGAAUGGGGAAACCCAGUGUGAUUCGUCACACUAUCAUUAACUGAAUCCAUAGGUUAAUGAGGCGAACCGGGGGAACUGAAACAUCUAAGUACCCCGAGGAAAAGAAAUCAACCGAGAUUCCCCCAGUAGCGGCGAGCGAACGGGGAGCAGCCCAGAGCCUGAAUCAGUGUGUGUGUUAGUGGAAGCGUCUGGAAAGGCGUGCGAUACAGGGUGACAGCCCCGUACACAAAAAUGCACAUACUGUGAGCUCGAUGAGUAGGGCGGGACACGUGGUAUCCUGUCUGAAUAUGGGGGGACCAUCCUCCAAGGCUAAAUACUCCUGACUGACCGAUAGUGAACCAGUACCGUGAGGGAAAGGCGAAAAGAACCCCGGCGAGG
rnacentral:rRNA from 1 species